UGCAGGUCCAUCCACGUGGUAGAAUAUCAAGACUAUCCUCUGGAUCAUCUUCUCGUGCUGGAAAAGAGGUUGUCGAGGGAGAUACAAGUCAGGAUACACAACAAAGAAAAGACUCUCCAUGGGUUCACAGGCCUAUUAGCAAUCGAUUGUAUGAUCCAGCCUUUGCCGCCAAUGGUCUACCUGUGGAUCCUCACUUGCGUGCGCUCAAAAGGAAUCCAGCCUUUUGUAA